AUUGAACGCUGGCGGCAGGCCUAACACAUGCAAGUCGAGCGGCGCGGCGGACGGGUGAGUAAUGCCUAGGAAUCUGCCUGGUAGUGGGGGAUAAUGUCCGGAAACGGGCGCUAAUACCGCAUACUAUCAGAUCAGCCUAGGUCGUAUUAGCUAGUUGGUGGGGUAAAGGCCUACCAAGGCGACGAUCCGUAACUGGUCUGAGAGGAUGAUCAGUCACACUGGAACUGAGACACGGUCCAGACUCCUACGGGAGGCAGCAGUGGGGAAUAUGGGACAAUGGGCGAAAGCCUGAUCCAGCCAGGCCGCGGGGUGGAAGAAGGUCUUCGGAUUGUAAAGCACGUUAAGUUGGGAGGCGUUACCAACAGAAUAAGCACCGGCUAACUUCGUGCCAGCAGCCGCGGUAAUUC
rnacentral:rRNA from 1 species